CGCGUCUGAACAAAUGAACAAACAGCAGGGAAUUAAACUACAAUUGUUUGCAAGAGCCUGGUUAAUGCAGACUGGAUCGGCAACAGCUAAAAGUCUAGGAGCCUUGCACAUGAGGGUAGUUAGGGAAAUGCAACUGUAACUUAUAUACACUUGGGUUUGUACCUUUAAAUACUCUAUAAACCUUCUCAUGAAACCAACAAAAUGCUCAGCUUUCCGAAUAUUUCCUGGGACAGACUCUGCACAAAAUUAGAAAAAAAAUUGUGAGGCAUUCUUCUUAAAGGUGAAGCUCAGGCAGAAGUACAAAUAAUAGCAAAGCUAUCAUUCUCUUACCUUGUAGCACUUCAUCUGGGAGGACUGUUAUGGCGUGAAACAAUGAAGGGAAAAAGAUGUCAAUCAUCAACAUUGGUCAAUCAGCAACAUCUAUCUAUCAACUGCACACCUGUCAAUGACUGAUGCGAGGGACUCAACAUUAGCAUGACUUCUAUCCAGGGUACGUCUAGAGAUGGUCACGCUCAUGGAGUCAAUACAAACAUUAUCUGCCGAGAAGAACAAACAGCAUGUGUGAUUAGCAGCACAAUCAGCACGCUCAUCAAGUCAAUACAAACUUAUCUACCAUGAAGAACAAACACCAUGUGUAAUUAGCUGCAAAAUGUUCGAGUACCACUGAGUACAAAACUGUAGAAAUCUGAAUUGUUAAAUUCCUAGCAAGCGUGGAAUUUGGAAAGGCAAUAUAAAUAAGCAUGUUUCUGGAGCGGAAUGAAAUCUAAGGAAUGUGAUAGCCCUUGGGAAUACAAUUUAAAAAGAUGUCGAAUAAAAAUACCAUACGCUAGGGCCAAGUUUGCAAAGGGUCUAAUAAUGCAUCAAGGUUUCUUUAUGAAAAUAAAUGUUCUUUACUCAGCAUAA